UACGUAGGUGGCGAGCGUUGUCCGGAUUUACUGGGCGUAAAGAGCGCGCAGGCGGUCGUUCAAGUCGCGUGUGAAAGCCCCCGGCUCAACUGGGAGGGUCACGCGAUACUGAUCGACUCGAAGGCAGGAGAGGGUAGUGGAAUUCCCGGUGUAGUGGUGAAAUGCGUAGAUAUCGGGAGGAACACCAGUGGCGAAGGCGACUACCUGGCCUGUUCUUGACGCUGAGGCGCGAAAGCUAGGGGAGCAAACGGG
rnacentral:rRNA from 1 species